UUUGUUUGAUUGUGCACUUCAGUUCUGUUUCUCCACGUGUUCUGUUUGACGGACUGUUUUGGCCUUUGUUUGAACUUGUGGACUUAUCUGGAUACUCUGAACAACCGCCCGCCCCCUUUCGGACUAUUUUUGCUUGUUUGGACUGCUCUUGCUGAUCUUGGACUUUGGCCCAUCUCACCUUCCAGGACCCCUAGUGGUGUGAAGUAGAAUCAAGAUCAUGCACGGUGUGGACAAAGUUUCCCAGUGUUUUCCAGCAGCAGACCUGUUGGAAGUCGGACUAGAGGCCGGCCUCGUGGGCUGCCCCUGCCGCGGCUGUGAUUUAUCAACCAGCCAGCUCUGAUGUGCUCCUCAUGGGGCUUCCCAGCCCUUGACAACCUCCUCCAGGCUUGCCUAAACCCAGGAGGUCAUUCAGCUCUGAGGCAACCAGGCCAUAUUGCGGUUAACCAUCAUUCUUUAAAACAAAUAACACUAUGAUCAAUGCUCUGGCCGCUACAGAGGCGGUGAAUGUAUCCCCAACUGGCCCAGUCCCAGAGCCACUCUGUUCAGUGUCUGAACCAUGGUUCAAGCCUCAGACCUGCCACCUUAAGCUGAGCCAUCCACCACACAAACAAUGUAACAGAGAUCCCAAGCCUGAACACCUUUAACUUCCACUCCAGCAUCAAAUUAGCCUCCCUUACCCAAAUUUAACCCUUUGGGAAAACCUGGCCUGAAUCGCAGCUUUUCGAUAGGAACUCGGCCAAAUCAUUAGAGGCUUGUCCACCGCUCAAAACAUGUUCUAACAAUUACAAGGAGGGUUUAAUUUUCCUCAAAGACCUCCAUCGAUCGCAAGAAUGGUUUCCCCCCUGAACAUAACACAGACUGCACCGCUCUGGCACACUGCACUGUACACCCACACAUGGACACAAUGAAGAACCAUAAUGAAACCAUCUAUCUUCUUGACACUAAAGGCUAGCAUACAGAAGGAGCUCACUGUCUUAUAAAUCUUUCUCGUGACCUCAGCCAGUUUGGUCUGUGCCGCUAUUAGGAUAGAGAUGAAGUGCACCAUGGUCGCCAUUCUCCUCCUCUUCCGCGUUGAGCACGGAGGUCCGACUGAGCGACUUGGCAGGAGAUGUGAGGGAGAUGCAGCAGACAAACGGGAGAUGAAGUGUUUUGAAGUCGUCUUGAGAAACCUCAUAGCCUCCCCCCUCGGGAGCUGACUCUGUUUAACCGAUAAAACUGGAGACCCCAAGGUCCCUUGGUUAAGGAUCAGUGAGGAUCGAUGCUCACACAGAUAUGUUGUGUGUCACUCAAGCCCAGGAAGAGCAUAGUUUUCUUGCUUGUGUGUGUGUGUGUGUGUGUGUGUGUGUGUGUGUGUGUGUGUGUGUGUGUGUGAGAGAGAAAGGGAGAUCAGACUCAUAAAUAGCAUUUAUAUGUUAAUGUGUGUGCAUGUGUUUUGCAUCUGUGUGUGCGUGAUAAUGUUCGCCAAGCCCGCAGACAGAAUGCAUAUGUUUUCAACUGAGUUGUGUCCACGUGUGUGUGUGUGGUUGAAGCUAUUUGUAUUCAUGUGUUUGUGAACGUCUUCGCAUGUGAUUGUGGAGAGUAUACCCAAGACAGCCUGAGUAAAAAUGUGUGUGUGUGUGCACGUGUGUGCGCGCGCGCUUUCAUGAGUCCGUUGGUGCUGUGUGAGAGAGUGUGAGAUAGCGAGGAGUGCCGAGUGUUCGGUCCAAGCACAACAAGAGGUUCCUUAUGGACAGAGGAGCCAGUCAUGAAUCAGGUGUGAUACCUGCACCCAGCGUUCGCAGAGCGCCAAAACAAACACAGCCAAAAGUGGAGCCACGUCCAGCUCGCCUUCUCUCUGCGUGGAAGUAAUUUCUGAGGUGUUGAAAUUGUCACUUUUCCUUUGGUGUUUAAAAAACACAUUCAUUUGAACUCUCGCACAGAAAGAUUUCUACUUCACACAAGGCACUUCUCUCCAGCAGGCUCUGUACAGGCUCACCGGCUCGCGUUAGUGGCUCACUGAGAUUUGCAUGUACAUGUUUGGCCACUAACGAUGGACACUGUAGUUCAAAUGACUUUAGUUCUUCACAUACGGUUUGGAUUUUCUUGUUCUUCAAGUUGCUGUUGCUGGCUGUUGUUUAGCUUCAAGAUGAGAGGUCACGUCUGUUUUCCUGAGGGUCAUAGAGUAGCUGCAAUAUCAGCAAACACGUUCAAAUUAACAAUUUCACACAGAUAUUCCAGUAACAGUGGAUCACUUACAACUGUUAGUGGGGUCAUGGUAAUGACUUUAAAAUGGAACUGAAGACAUUAUCCUCAAAUAAUCUUUAGUCACAACAUGCAAACAAAUAUAGCCCUUAGAAAUGACAGGCGCUCAUGUCAGGUUCAUCAGCAUCCGAAUCAGAAAAAUUGUUUACAUUUGUUUUAACUGUGACUUGGAAAUAUCAGUAAAAGCUGACAGCAGCAAUAUUUCCCACUUGUUGAAAAGAACUACAGAAACAUCAAAACAAAAGACAGAGUGGAUGCAAAGCCAACAUCACUGGCUGCUAACAUCUAAAUAAAAUCCAAUAUCACGCCUAACAUAAUCAAUUUGACUGAUUUAUAAGUAGCUAUGAACUACUACUUGAAUCUUGUAUGACUCCAAAUAUGUCACACUUCUAAUAUAGCUAAUUAACAUUCCCAAGUCAAAAUGUUUUUUUGUUCUGUUUUUCACAUUCUGUUGACAUUGCAUGCAAUAGAGAUAAAUUCUAUAAAAAAGAGAAGAAAUGUUUCUAAUGGCAGCAAAGAGGAUAAAAUUGAUGUGUUUUCAAAACACAGUUACGUUUUUAAGACGGGAUUUUUACACCAAUUAAGUUUGAUAAGAAACUGUAGUUUAUUUCUGUGACUCAAGACAACUCAAGAGACGAAACAGUGAAAAUUAUAAGUGCAUAUCAGUUCUCUGACAGAUUCAUCAAGUGAAUCGUAUGUUGUUGCAAUUCAGAUGCCAUUAGUUUUAUUCAGCGCACAGCGUUGAUUUCAGAGUAAUGUAUCUGCUCUCACGCAGCGUUUCCCUGACAGACGCCUUGAACUGCUAAGUUCAUCAGUACGUACACGGACAUGCCUAGUAAUGAUGUUACAGUAAACUGAUCCAUCCGUGUUUUAUUGUACCUACUGGAGCCGUGAUUUCACAUUGUCACGACUGAUUUGCAACUUGGGUCGUCUCCAGCUGGCAUUUCCAGGCGUGUGUGUGUCUGUAUGUGUGUGUGUGUGUGCGUGUCUACAAGCAAAUGUACUGAUUAAUGAGUCGGCCUGUACUUAAGACCUAUCUGACAGUUAUGGUUUCAAAGCUGAUAUGAACUGCUUGGUUUACAAGUGAGGUUCCAGGCCAGCCAGGUGUGACACACGGUGGACUGUAUGGUUCUGGACAGGCCGUCCUACCGUCCCCAUCAGGGGUGCCCUAGCGGACAAAGCCAUUUUACAGGAGAGGAGGUGAGUGUUGGGUUUCAGUGUCACGCAGGGGUAACGCUUGCAACUACACUCCUCAACCCCUGCCCUCCUCACCCUGCCUCCCUCAGCACCAGUAUCCAUUUUGUCCCAGUAUACUCCUCACUCCUGUUUCCUCCCCCACUGAGCUCUAGCUGCCAUCCCAUGACCCACUGCACUCCCAAACUGUUCGUACUUUGUUUCACUGUUGUAAAUGUCACCUGAGUUACACUCUCUGCUUUCCACAGACGGCCCUUUAUCCGCCACCCUUUUAAAAAAAAGACCCCCACUCACAUUUCAUGUUUUCUCAUUUUUACUACGUGCUAGAGAACGCGUUUCCUCCCGGUUCACUCAGUCAUACGAUACAACUCACUUUUUUUGCCAGAAUGUCUUUCCCUGCAUCAUAUUUUUGUUGUCUGCUUUUUUACACUGGACUCACACUCACAGCAAGGGUGAGUGUACACGUGUGUCUGAGGUUUAUCCACAAAUCUCAAAUUAAGCUGCCCGCUAGUUUAUAGCUCUUUGAACCCAUUUGUAGGAAAGACGGCAUUAAAUGAGUAUCCCCACUCUUAAGACAGUUUUGGCAGCUGGGUUCACUCAUAGUAGCAUGCAGUUGUGACAUUGAAUGGUGCUGAAAGAAAAAAACCUUGAAUGAACGUAGCAGUCCUCAAGCCAUGUGUCGAUGUGGAAUUGUACAGCUGUGGGAGAUGGCGAAACGUCAGAUAAGAUCCACGUUGAUGUUGUUCUGUGAAUGCUCCGUGCUGGAAAGUUCACUUCCCCCUGUGUCACAAAACGCAAACCUCUCAUGUGUAUUUAAACAUAUCUAACAUUUCGCAUUACAGUAUGUCUUUGAGUUCAGCUGGAAUUUAGGCACGAGGCCCGCGGAUCAUUAAGCACUUACGAUCUUGGAUCGUGACUGAACACGAUACAUUCACACUUGUUCCAUGAUGCAAGGUCCAUAUUCUGUAGGGGCCAUGAAGGGCCCGGUCUGACAGUGAUGACAGCGUGAUUAAUGCCCACCUCCCGUCCCACUCACACACUCACUUCACGCAGCUAAAGUCUAACUGGCUUGAAGAAAAGCUGCCAACAGGGCCGAACAAGCAGCAGCCAGAUUUCAUCUGACGAGAAGAUAGAAAUUGAUAAGACUCCGUUUGACUGUGGAAAUAAAUACCGACUACAGCAUUCUACAGAAGUGAAUAUUGAGAACAUUUAGAGAAGGUUUGGUUACUUGAAUAGAUACUACACUCAAACUUUAAAAUGUUCACGUCAAUUAGGAAAGAAUUGGUAUGAAGAUAAUGCUCCUGCAUGGUUCUUCUAAAGCUUUCACUGAUUUGAGAUUCAACUAUCUCAGCACACUGACCGAUGGGGACUUAAUUUCAGAUUUAAAUGGCUCAAAAGAUUUUCAGGUAUUAAACUUGUAUUCAGGUUUUUGAUAUGGCAAACAGGUUUUGAAUUAUUGUAAUUUAGAUGCUUUUUUUUUCUGGUGGGCUAUAGAAGCAGGUUGGAGUGACCACUAGGCCCCAGGCAAGCUACCAGUGGGAGACAUACAUAUUACUGUGGCAAUCUUUUGAAAUUAACUUUCAACUACACCCCCACAUCCUUUUUUUGGAUAUGUUUCGCUGAGUCCUUUUCAUCAAGUCUCUCAGUCCAUGUUUAUGUAUUUUAAUCACCAAGGUGUUAGCAGAUGCCUGGAGGAAUUUAUUUGGCUUUGUUUCUUUGGAUUCUCAGUGGGCGACGUGCUGAUUGGUCAACUCACGCAUCAAGAAAGGGUCACAAUUUGUGCUUGUAAUUUUGGUGUCACAUGCACAGAUAAGAGAUUUAUGUCUGUUUCUCAGACUUUGUGAAACAUUUUUGUUGAAAAUAUGCCUGCACAAUUUUUGAAUUACUCACACACAAACUAUUUCUACAGUUACGGGAAAAAAACAUAUGAAUGUGUUCAAAUUAUGUGUGUAUAAUUUUUCACACGUGCACACGUUCUUUUGCAAAAACAAUUGCUGCA